UACAGAGGGUGCGAGCGUUAAUCGGAAUUACUGGGCGUAAAGGGUGCGUAGGCGGCGCGGUAAGUCGGGUGUGAAAUCUCGGGGCUUAACUCCGAAACUGCAUUCGAUACUGCCGUGCUUGAGGACUGGAGAGGAGACUGGAAUUUACGGUGUAGCGGUGAAAUGCGUAGAUAUCGUGAGGAAGACCAGUGGCGAAGGCGGGUCUCUGGACAGUUCCUGACGCUGAGGCACGAAGGCCAGGGGAGCAAACGGG
rnacentral:rRNA from 1 species